UACGUAGGGUGCAAGCGUUAAUCGGAAUUACUGGGCGUAAAGCGCGCGUAGGUGGUUCAGUAAGUUGGAUGUGAAAUCCCCGGGCUCAACCUGGGAACUGCAUCCAAAACUGCUGAGCUAGAGUACGGUAGAGGGUGGUGGAAUUUCCUGUGUAGCGGUGAAAUGCGUAGAUAUAGGAAGGAACACCAGUGGCGAAGGCGACCACCUGGACUGAUACUGACACUGAGGUGCGAAAGCGUGGGGAGCAAACAGG
rnacentral:rRNA from 1 species